rnacentral:rRNA from 1 species
GGAGGGGGCUAGCGUUGUUCAGAAUUACUGGGCGUAAAGGGCGCGUAGGCGGCCUGUCAAGUCAGGGGUGAAAGGCCCGGGCUCAACCCGGGAACUGCCCUUGAAACUGGCAAGCUAGAGUCCGAGAGAGGAUGGCGGAAUUCCCAGUGUAGAGGUGAAAUUCGUAGAUAUUGGGAAGAACACCGGUGGCGAAGGCGGCCAUCUGGCUCGGUACUGACGCUGAGGCGCGAAAGCGUGGGGAGCAAACAGGAUUAGAUACCCUGGUAGUCCACGCCGUAAACGAUGUGUGCUAGACGUUGGGGGUCUUAGGCCCCUCGGUGUGCAGCUAACGCGUUAAGCACACCGCCUGGGGAGUACGGCCGCAAGGUUA